rnacentral:rRNA from 1 species
AGGACGAACGCUGGCGGCGUGCUUAACACAUGCAAGUCGAACGGUGAACUCCGCUUGCGGGGGGAUCAGUGGCGAACGGGUGAGUAACACGUGGGCAACCUGCCCUCAGCUCUGGGAUAACUCCAAGAAAUUGGGGCUAAUACUGGAUAUGACCGCUGACCGCAUGGUCUGGUGGUGGAAAGAUUUAUCGGCUGGGGAUGGGCCCGCGGCCUAUCAGCUUGUUGGUGGGGUAGUGGCCUACCAAGGCGACGACGGGUAGCCGGCCUGAGAGGGUGACCGGCCACACUGGGACUGGAGACACGGCCCAGACCGUCCUACGGGAGGCAGCGAGUGGGGAAUAUGCGCAAGUGGCGAAAGCCUGACGCAGCGACGCCGCGUGGGAUGACGGCCUUCGGGUUCGUAACCGUCUUCGUAGCACGGACGGAAGACGAAGUA